CCUACGGGGGGCAGCAGUGAGGAAUAUUGGUCAAUGGACGCAAGUCUGACCCAGCCAUGCCGCGUGCAGGAAGACGGCUCUAUGAGUUGUAAACUGCUUUUGUACGAGGGUAAACGCAGAUACGUGUAUCUGUCUGAAAGUAUCGUACGAAUAAGGAUCGGCUAACUCCGUGCCAGCAGCCGCGGUAAUACGGAGGAUUCAAGCGUUAUCCGGAUUUAUUGGGUUUAAAGGGUGCGUAGGCGGUCGGAUAAGUUAGGGGUGAAAUCCCGAGGCUCAACUUCGGAAUUGCAUCUGAUACUGUUUGGCUAGAGAGUAGUUGCGGUAGGCAGAAUGUAUGGUGUAGCGGUGAAAUGCUUAGAGAUGAUACAGAACACCGAUUGCGAAGGCAGCUUACCAAGCUACUUCUGACGUUGAGGCACGAAAGUGUGGGGAGCAAACAGGAUUAGAUACCCCUGUAGUC
rnacentral:rRNA from 1 species